CCUACGGGCGGCAGCAGUGAGGAAUAUUGGUCAAUGGGCGCGAGCCUGAACCAGCCACGUCGCGUGAGGGAAGACGGUCCUAGGGAUUGUAAACCCCUUUUGUCGGGGAGCAAAAGACGCCACGUGUGGCGUUCCGAGAGUACCCGUAGAAAAAGCAUCGGCUAACUCCGUGCCAGCAGCCGCGGUAAUACGGAGGAUGAGAGCGUUAUCCGGAUUUAGUGGGUUAAAAGGGUGCGCAGGCGGAAAAUAAAGUCAGCGGUAAAAUUGAGAGGCUCAACCUCUUCGAGCCGUUGAAACUGGUCAUCUUGAGUGAGUGAGAAGUAUGCGGAAUGCGUGGUGUAGCGGUGAAAUGCAUAGAUAUCACGCGGAACUCCGAUUGCGAAGGCAGCAUACCGGCGCGCAACUGACGCUGAGGCACGAAAGUGUGGGUAUCGAACAGGAUUAGAUACCCGGGUAGUC
rnacentral:rRNA from 1 species